rnacentral:misc_RNA from 1 species
GGAUGAAGAACGUAGCGAAAUGCGAUAAGUGAUGUGAAUUGCAGAAUUCAGUGAAUCAUCGAAUCUUUGAACGCACCUUGCGCCCCUUGGUAUUCCGAGGGGCAUGCCUGUUUGAGUGUCAUUAAAUUCUCAACUUUCCAGAUUUUCUAGUAAAGUCUGAUAAAGCUUGGACUUGGAGUGUGCUGGCUUUCUUAUAGAGUCAGCUCCUCUUUAAAUGCAUUAGCAAAACCUUUGUGGAUCAGCUUUGGUGUGAUAAUUAUCUACGCCGUUGUUGUGAAACAAUUUUGAAGGAUUUGCUUCAAACUGUCCUAGGACAAUUCUUAAUUGACAUUUUGACCUCAAAUCAGGUAGGACUACCCGCUGAACUUAAGCAUAUCAAUAAGCGGAGGA